UGGGGAAUAUUGGACAAUGGGCGAAAGCCUGAUCCAGCCAUGCCGCGUGUGUGAAGAAGGCCCUCGGGUUGUAAAGCACUUUCAGUGGGGAAGAAAGCCUUGGGAUUAAUACUCCCGAGGAAGGACAUCACCCACAGAAGAAGCACCGGCUAACUCCGUGCCAGCAGCCGCGGUAAUACGGAGGGUGCGAGCGUUAAUCGGAAUUACUGGGCGUAAAGCGCGCGUAGGCGGUCUGAUAAGCCGGUUGUGAAAGCCCCGGGCUCAACCUGGGAACGGCAUCCGGAACUGUCAGGCUAGAGUGCAGGAGAGGAAGGUAGAAUUCCCGGUGUAGCGGUGAAACGCGUAGAGAUCGGGAGGAAUACCAGUGGCGAAGGCGGCCUUCUGGACUGACACUGACGCUGAGGUGCGAAAGCGUGCGUAGCAACA
rnacentral:rRNA from 1 species